GAGAAUGAAAAGUACAAGAACAAGGUUAAAGAUCUUGAAGAAAAGCUGAAAGAAAUGAGAGGCGUAAAACAAGACCAGUAUGAUGCCAAAAAUUGUAGUACUUCUACCGUUGCCCUGCAUGAUUUGAAGUUCUUACAGAAAGAGGACAAUUGAAGCAGUAUCAUAUCCAGUGAAGGCCCAUUCUUGUCACAUCCUUCCAAUGUUGCUGACGUCAAGAACUGUAUCGCAAGCUGUCUAAUCACUCUUUACACCAAAACCACUAUCUUUUUUCAUUGUUUUCUGUACGAGACUACAAGUAUAGAAAUAUCGCUGAUUUAACCUUUUCUUAAUCUCGAAGACUAUGACUCUAAGGAUUUUAAAGUCAUAGAAACUUGUUUUCAGGUCUAUGAAACUCCACUCCUCCUGGUAGUUCUUUUAUAAUUGCAUGGAUA